CAGGGCGCUAGCGGAGCUAGUCUAUAUAUAUCCAUGGUCGGCACGUCUGGUAGCAUCUCUGGCUGCUGUUGAGCUUGUUUUUGGAGUAAAACACGGUGGAAGCUGAAUUAGUGAGGAUGACUCCUGCUCCUGUCAUCUCUAAGCUCCUCACACAUCUUUACCUGCACAUGAGGAAAAUCACUCCUGUAGAAUGCAGAUGUUCAGAGGGAGAUGAUGCCACAUCUGGUCCAGCCGAUGGAAGGUCUUGAAGUUCUCUGACUGGCCUCGACUGAAGAUGGUCGUCUCACUGGAUUUAAGGUUCAGAUGCUCAGUAACAAACUCCACCAAUGUGCCAACAGGGAAGCUUUAGGUGCUGUGGAAGUCUCACAUCUCCUGAUUUAAUGGAGCUGCUUUGCACUUUUUACACUGUUUAUUCACCAACACUUUAUUUAAUAAAAGUCCCAUCUAGUUUUUAUGAGGAAUGUGAUGUUUUAAUUUCUCUGUGAAUAACUGCAGUCUAAUGCAACAGCUGGAGUUGUAACAUCUGUCCUGAUAUUGAUCAUAAAGUAUUGAUCAGAAUACUUAUGGUUAGCAGUCAUCCCUGAAGUUUUACAUUAAAAUCUUUACUUGUGUUGUGAACUUUAGUAAGAAGCAGAAACGUUAGUGUUGCCAUGGAUACAUGAGUGUUAAAUUCUGUCCAUGUUUCCAUUUUGGGAAAUGCAGUCCAGAUCCAGAAUGUGGAGGAAUUUAGUCUCACAAUCACAGACAACAAAUAUCUGAAAGUCGGGUUAUUGUUGUUUAUCAGCACAAUACAAAAAGAUUAAUGUUAGAAAUAUUCCAGUUAAGACUCUAGAAUAUCAUGAUUUAUGUAAAUUUACCUCAAUAAUAUGAAUGUUCAGGUUAAGAUUGUACAGUGAUAUUUAUUAUGCAAGUUUAGCUGAUUAAAGUUUAUGACUCUGCACUAAAAUAUUAUUUAAAUUGACAUCAUUAUUAUAAUAUUUAGGGUCAGACCCUACAGUAUUGAGAUUAAGAAAUCAAAUCUUCUAUAAAAUGUAAAUACACUGAACUCAUCUGGAUAUAUUUAAGUGAGACUCUAGAAUAUUAUUUGACACAAAUCUGUCUAAAUCAAAAUUUUAAUCAUUUUUACUCCAAACAUUUACUGGACUGAUUUAAACAUUAAAAUCACUCCUUUCUAAUCCUCUGCUGUACGUUCAAACCUGAGACCUUAAAUAGAAACACACAAGUAUCUGUUUGAAGGAACUUCUGCAGAGUCCUGGUUCCAGAACAUGAUGAUAGAAUUAUAGACAAACUUUAACAAAAGCUGCCUGAGAGUUUACAGGAUUUUAUGUUAGAUUUCUUCAGUAAUUUAAUGAGAGCUAUCAGCAAUAAUCAAGUGUUCAUUUGAUGAACUUCAUUUCCUAAAACAUCCAGAAUUGGAGCUCAUAUCUUUGGCAGCUGUAAAGUUUCUGCUCCUUCAAAGUUCACAACACAAUGAAUGAAUUCCUAAAACACUCUCAAUGCUGGAGAGCGUUUGUGAUGCUGAAGCAGUGACCAGUUUUUCUGUUUCUU